CUUAGUGACCUACAAAGAGACUUAGACUCCCACACAAUAAUAAUGGAGACUUUAACACCGCACUGUCAACAUUAGACAGAUCAAAAUGCCCACAAGAGAAAGCAGGAAAGAUCCAAAAUUGACACCCUAACAUCACAAUUAAAAGAGCUAGAAAAGCAAGAGCAAAGUGGGCUUCAUCCCUGGAAUGCAAGGCUGGUUCAACAUAUUCAAAUCAAUAAACAUAAUCCAGCAUAUAAACAGAACCAAAGACAAAAACCACAUGAUUAUCUCAAUAGAUGCAGGAAAGGCCUUGACAAAAUUCAACAACCCUUCAUGCUAAAAACUUUCAAUAAAUUAGGUAUUGGCAGGCUGUACGUUCAGAGAGUCGUUUUCUGUCAUAAAUAAUCUCAAAAUUUCUAACACCUGAUAUCUGGAACCAAAUGUCAUUUAAACCAUGCCCAUUUCAAUAACCAAUUUAAUAAUUAUUACAACAACAAUAGCGACUCAACAUUUUGGAGCAGUCUCUAAACGUCAGGUGCUGUUCUGUGUAGCAUCUCAUUUAAUCCAUCAACAAUACAAUUGCUAUUAAUUUCUCCAUUUUAUAAAUGA
rnacentral:lncRNA from 1 species